UCUAUUGCGGAACGAAAAUAAUUUUGACGAGCUUCGCUGGACAGAUUAUGUAAAUAUAAGAAACUAUUGUUUUAAAAUUAUGUAAUUGGCAUUAUGCGGGUCAUAUUUCAAAAGCUAAUGGUCUGUGCUUGAUAAACGAAUGUUAUUUUAGAAUCAAAAUAUUAUUAUGACUAUUCGACAGAAAUGCUGAAACCGGCAAAGGGAGACAACACAACUUAUAUUUUGUUUUACAAUUGUGAGCCUGAGUUACAUGCGUUAACUUACGUAGGUUUCUAAAAUUUUUCUAUCAAUCACAUUUAUGUCUAGCAAUCAACGUCAAGAAAUCGUUCGUUACGGUUUGUAAUUAUAUAAGAACCUUGCAGUUAGACCUGUAUUUCUAUUUUUACUGCCAGUAAACGUCGCGGACAAAAGAAUAUCUAAACCAUUUCAAAACAUCUGAUUCCUAUUUUGUUCCUAUGAAAUGAAUAGAACUCGGCACUUCAAUAAAUGUGUUUAGAGAGUUUUUGUUUUUUUAAUAUCCAGUGGCAAAUAUGGUUUACAUAAUCUGAGAGAGAACAAUUUUAAUAAUGCAUCAAAACAUGAAACCAGG
rnacentral:lncRNA from 1 species